rnacentral:rRNA from 1 species
AUUGAACGCUGGCGGCAGGCCUAACACAUCCAAGUCGAACGGCAGCACAGAAGAGCUUGCUCUUUGGGUGGCGAGUGGCGGACGGGUGAGUAAUGUCUGGGAAACUGCCCGAUGGAGGGGGAUAACUACUGGAAACGGUAGCUAAUACCGCAUAACGUCGCGAGACCAAAGUGGGGGACCUUCGGGCCUCACACCAUCGGAUGUGCCCAGAUGGGAUUAGCUAGUAGGUGGGGUAAUGGCUCACCUAGGCGACGAUCCCUAGCUGGUCUGAGAGGAGGACCAGCCACAGUGGAACUGAGACACGGUCCAGACUCCUACGGGAGGCAGCAGUGGGGAAUAUUGCACAAUGGGCGCAAGCCUGAUGCAGCCAUGCCGCGUGUAUGAAGAAGGCCUUCGGGUUGUAAAGUACUUUCAGCGGGGAGGAUGGCGGUGAGGUUAAUAACCUUGCCGAUUGACGUUACCCGCAGAAGAAGCACCGGCUAACUCCGUGCCAGCCGCCGCCGUAA